GUACCUUACCUUUCCAGUGAUUCAUUGGGGAAGCUUCGAACUAAUGAGAUGAAAGACCGAAGUUCCUUGGCUCUCUUCGCCUGUGUAGGCUUGCUCCGCACAGGCUACAUCUCGGUCUUCCUUCCUCGCUACAAGGCCUGCGAGCCUUACAUACCAUACAAAAGGUGAGCCCUAUUCUGCUUCCCUUACCUGACUAACUUACUAGGCUGACUGACCUUACUAAGCAUAGCUCAGAACUGACUAAGCCGUCAGGUAAGCUAAGUAAGCUAAGCUAAGUAGCUUCGCUUAGAGCUUAGUAUAGGUUGCUAAGUAAGCUGUAAGCUAGGCUUAGAUAGAGAUAGAUAGCUUUUUUAGAGAUAGAGCUACGCUUCGCAUUCCGCUUCUUCUCCUUGCUUUUCGCAAGCUAAGCUUCCUCUUAGGCUUUCGUCAAUGAAUCAAGCCAGGGAAACCAGAGAUAGGUAACUGUAGUCUAGAUAGAGAGUUUCGCUAGAACUCGUAGCGACAUAAGCUAGUAAGGUAAGUGAGCUUCGCUUAGAACACUUAGGUUGCUAUUAGCUUCUCUUAGGUUGCUAAGUUAGCUUAGUGAGCUUCGCUUAGAAUGCUUAGUAAGUGAAGGCACCUAAGGUCACUCGACCAGGAUAGAAGCUAAUACACUGAUUAAGAUAAGGUGCCCGCUUACGCUUACUAAGUGAAGGAUACUAGCAGGUAUGACUACUCUCCUGUGGCAUGGGAG
rnacentral:lncRNA from 1 species